rnacentral:rRNA from 1 species
UGCAGUCGACGAAGUCUUCGGACUUUAGUGGCGGACGGGUGAGUAACGCGUGAGAAUCUGCCUAUAGGUUGGGGACAACAGAUGGAAACGUCUGCUAAUACCCAAUGUGCCGAGAGGUGAAAGCUUUAGUGCCUGUAGAUGAGCUCGCGUCCGAUUAGCUAGUUGGUUAGGUAAGAGCUGACCAAGGCGACGAUCGGUAGCUGGUCUGAGAGGAUGAUCAGCCACACUGGGACUGAGACACGGCCCAGACUCCUACGGGAGGCAGCAGUGGGGAAUUUUCCGCAAUGGGCGAAAGCCUGACGGAGCAAUACCGCGUGCGGGACGAAGGCUUUUGGGUCGUAAACCGCUUUUGUUAGGGAAGAAGAACUGACGGUACCUAACGAAUCAGCAUCGGCUAACUCCGUGCCAGCAGCCGCGGUAAUACGGAGGAUGCAAGCGUUAUCCGGAUUUAUUGGGCGUAAAGCGUCCGCAGGUGGUUUAUCAAGUCUGCUGUUAAAGCGUGGGGCUUAACCCCAUAUAGGCAGUGGAAACUGAGAGACUAGAGUACGGUAGGGGUAGCGGGAAUUCCCAGUGUAGCGGUGAAAUGCGUAGAUAUUGGGAAGAACACCAGCGGCGAAGGCGCGCUACUGGGCCGAAACUGACACUCAUGGACGAAAGCUAGGGGAGCGAAAGGGAUUAGAUACCCCUGUAGUCCUAGCUGUAAACGAUGACACUAGGUGUUGCGCGUAUCGACCCGUGCAGUGCCGUAGCUAACGCGUUAAGUUGUCCGCCUGGGGGAGUACGCACGCAGUGUGAAACUCAAGGAAUUGACGGGGCC